rnacentral:hammerhead_ribozyme from 1 species
AUCCAGCUGAUGAGUGCGAAAUAGGACGAAACACGCGUCCUGGAU